CGGCGAGCGAACGGGGAGCAGCCCAGAGCCUGAAUCAGUGUGUGUGUUAGUGGAAGCGUCUGGAAAGGCGCGCGAUACAGGGUGACAGCCCCGUACACAAAAAUGCACAUGCUGUGAGCUCGAUGAGUAGGGCGGGACACGUGGUAUCCUGUCUGAAUAUGGGGGGACCAUCCUCCAAGGCUAAAUACUCCUGACUGACCGAUAGUGAACCAGUACCGUGAGGGAAAGGCGAAAAGAACCCCGGCGAGGGGAGUGAAAAAGAACCUGAAACCGUGUACGUACAAGCAGUGGGAGCACGCUUAGGCGUGUGACUGCGUACCUUUUGUAUAAUGGGUCAGCGACUUAUAUUCUGUAGCAAGGUUAACCGAAUAGGGGAGCCGAAGGGAAACCGAGUCUUAACUGGGCGUUAAGUUGCAGGGUAUAGACCCGAAACCCGGUGAUCUAGCCAUGGGCAGGUUGAAGGUUGGGUAACACUAACUGGAGGACCGAACCGACUAAUGUUGAAAAAUUAGCGGAUGACUUGUGGCUGGGGGUGAAAGGCCAAUCAAACCGGGAGAUAGCUGGUUCUCCCCGAAAGCUAUUUAGGUAGCGCCUCGUGAAUUCAUCUCCGGGGGUAGAGCACUGUUUCGGCAAGGGGGUCAUCCCGACUUACCAACCCGAUGCAAACUGCGAAUACCGGAGAAUGUUAUCACGGGAGACACACGGCGGGUGCUAACGUCCGUCGUGAAGAGGGAAACAACCCAGACCGCCAGCUAAGGUCCCAAAGUCAUGGUUAAGUGGGAAACGAUGUGGGAAGGCCCAGACAGCCAGGAUGUUGGCUUAGAAGCAGCCAUCAUUUAAAGAAAGCGUAAUAGCUCACUGGUCGAGUCGGCCUGCGCGGAAGAUGUAACGGGGCUAAACCAUG
rnacentral:rRNA from 1 species